rnacentral:misc_RNA from 13 species
GAUCAUCUUCAGGGCCUUGUGUUGUCUGCAUUUCAGCAAAAAAGUUCUCUGAUUGAUGGCCGAUGCGAGUUUCUUCUCGUGUAGGAAUGUGUAGAGUUUAGUUUUUGCUGGAAUGCAGACAACACAAGGCCCUGAAGAUGAUCU